rnacentral:tRNA from 1 species
UCUUCAGUAGCUCAGUGGUAGAGCAUGUGGCUGUUAACCAUAGGGUCGUUGGUUCAAUCCCAACCUGAAGAG